UACGAAGGGGGCUAGCGUUGCUCGGAAUCACUGGGCGUAAAGCGCACGUAGGCGGAUCUUUAAGUCAGGGGUGAAAUCCUGGAGCUCAACUCCAGAACUGCCUUUGAUACUGGGGAUCUCGAGUCCGGGAGAGGUGAGUGGAACUGCGAGUGUAGAGGUGAAAUUCGUAGAUAUUCGCAAGAACACCAGUGGCGAAGGCGGCUCACUGGCCCGGUUCUGACGCUGAGGUGCGAAAGCGUGGGGAGCAAACAGG
rnacentral:rRNA from 1 species